CCCUUAGAUGCCCGGGGCUGCACGCGCGCUACACUGAAGGAAUCAGCGUGCUAAAACCAUUGUCGAAAGGCAUUGGUAAACCCAUUAAAAUCCUACGUGAUUGGGAUCGGGAAUUGCAAUUAUUUCCCUUGAACGAGGAAUUCCCAGUAAGUGUGGGUCAUAAGCUCGCGUUGAUUACGUCCCUGCCCUUUGUACACACCGCCCGUCGCUGCCCGGGACUGAGCCGUUUCGAGAAAAGCGGGGACUGCUGCUGUCGGGGCUUUCGGGCCUUGGCUUCGGUGGAAACCGCUUUAAUCGCAGUGGCUUGAACCGGGCAAAAGUCGUAACA
rnacentral:rRNA from 1 species